rnacentral:rRNA from 1 species
UACAGAGGUCUCGAGCGUUGUUCGGAUUCAUUGGGCGUAAAGGGCGCGUAGGCGGCGGGGUAAGUCUGGUGUGAAAUCUAGGAGCUCAACUCCUAAACUGCACUGGAUACUGCUCUGCUGGAGGACUGGAGAGGAGACUGGAAUUCACGGUGUAGCAGUGAAAUGCGUAGAUAUCGAGAGGAACACCUGCGGCGAAGGCGGGUUGCUGGGCUGACACUGACGUGAUGCGCGAAAGCCAGGGGAGCGAACGGG